rnacentral:rRNA from 1 species
CAACUCUCAACAACGGAUAUCUUGGCACGCGCACCGAUGAAGAACGCAGCGAAAUGCGAUACGUAGUGUGAAUUGCAGAAUUCCGUGAACCAUCGAAUCUUUGAACGCAUAUUGCGCUCGAGGCCUCGGCCAAGAGCAUGUCCGCCUCAGCGUC